GACGAACGCUGGCGGCGUGCUUAACACAUGCAAGUCGAACGGAAAGGCCCUGCUUUUGUGGGGUGCUCGAGUGGAGAACGGGUGAGUAACACGCGUGUAAGCUGUACUUGACUUUGGGAUAACUUCAGGAAACUGGGGCUAACACCGGAUAGGAGCUCCUGCUGCAUGGUGGGGGCUGGAAAGUUUCGGCGGUUGGGGAUGGACUCGCGGCUUAUCAGCUUGGUGGUGUGGUAGUGGCUUACCAAGGCUUUGACGGGUAGCCUGCCUGAGAGGGGGACCUGCCAAGUUAGAACUGGGAUGCGACCCAGACUCGAACGGGAGGCAACGGUGGAGUGUGUAACACAGGAGACUGAAGCCUGAUGCGACAACGCCACGUGCGGUAAGACAGCCUUCGGGUAGUGAACCACAUUCGCCUGAGACGAGGCGUUAAUGACGGUAAUGGGUAAAGAAGCACCGGCUAACUCCGUG
rnacentral:rRNA from 1 species